rnacentral:rRNA from 1 species
UACGAAGGGUGCAAGCGUUAAUCGGAAUUACUGGGCGUAAAGCGUGCGUAGACGGUUACUUAAGUCGGGUGUGAAAGCCCCGGGCUCAACCUGGGAAUUGCAUUCGAGACUGAAUAGCUAGGGUACGGUAGAGGGAAGUGGAAUUUCCGGUGUAGCGGUGAAAUGCGUAGAUAUCGGAAGGAACAUCAGUGGCGAAAGCGACUUCCUGGACCAGUACCGACGUUCAGGCACGAAAGCGUGGGGAGCAAACAGG